rnacentral:lncRNA from 1 species
UUUGCUUGAAGCUGCAGAAAAUGUCCCAAACAAAAAAGAGAAAAUAAAUCCAAAAGACAACCACAUUUCAUUCCAAUGCUCAGAUAUGGAACUCAUAACCCAAAAAUUACAAGAAAUGAAAAUAGAAUAUGUAACAGCAAUUGUCAAGGAAGGAGGCAUAACAGUGGAUCAAUUGUUCUUCCAUGAUCCAGAUGGUUAUAUGAUUGAAAUUUGCAAUUGCCAAAAUCUACCAGUUCUUCCACUUUCUUCCUGCCCUCUUAAGAAGCUACAAAACCCUAAUGAUAAUCUCACAUUAUCAUCUCUCUACGGUGAGUUUUUAAUUCAUUGAGUGUAAACCGAGACCAUUUUAUAGUAAUUAGGGUUUUUGUUGCAGAAAAGUUUCAUGGUAUUUAUUUACUUUACGGUAAACAUUACUAGAUGACCGGCUAUAUAGAUAAAAAUUAUGAGUUCAAGUUUUGUUAUCAUCAACUUAAAAAUGUGAUUAUUAAUUAAUUAAUGUGUUAUUACAAAUCACAGGGAAGAAGAUGCAGUGCAAUAGAGAAGUAGAAGCUCUGAUGUUGGAGAAUUUGGCAGUGGAAAUGUUGGACAUUUCAAUUUGACUGCAUUUCUCACCGUAUGAGUCAAAAGAAUGUAAAAUAUAUGUAUGGAAAAGAGAAAGCACUUUUAUCUAUAGUUAAUUAUAAAUGUUAGCAUAUUGCAGCUCUUCCUUUCUAGUCUUCUGAUUAAUAGUAAAAUAUCAAUCGAUACUGAUUGGUUUUGGCUUCAGAGUUCAAUGGUCGCAUAUAUGUGGAGAGAGACUUAUUGUUCUAAUUAUGUUGUCAUACAAAUUCAAUAUUUUGCGAAAACGAGCUCCAUAUAGAAAAUGGGCUCGGGUUUUUCGGGUCGAAUUAUCAUCUCUAAUUAAAGCACUGUUGAAAAAAUAUUAACUGAGUACAAACAUUAUAGCCCCAAGUUUUGCUCAUGCGAAUAAACUCUGCAUAUUAAGUGGGGGAGAUAGAAGUACUUUGUCACAUUUAUAACAUUUUGACACAACAUGAGCAAUGAACACUUUUUUUUUUCAACCGUGCUAGGCUUAACAGGUCCUUACCAGGCCACACACACACAUGGGGUCGACAUAAAAUUUUUUUUUUAAAGCAUGUGGGGCCCCUAUACAGUGAGGAACCCUAUAAAACACUUGUGAGCCAUUGCCCUGUACAUUGGACAUUAUUCUUUUUUUUUUUUUUUUUUUUUUUUUUUUUUGAAGAAAUAAGAGAAUCAAAACUACACUAUUUUGGUAGACUACGUGUGAAUAGGAACUAACUUCUUCUCUUUUCUAUUUAUAGAUGGCUGAAUGGAAUAAAUCACAUAUUAUCAUACUAUAUACAUCAAUUCAACGAAUUAAUUUUAAUUUCUAGGACACAUCAUAUAUUUACUACCAAUAAAUUAAUAUAUCACGUCAUUAUUGCUUAACGUAAACUAAACAAAUAUACUUAAUAAAUCAUUUCUCAUAUUACUUGUAUACAUUGAGAUCCUCCAACCAUUUUUUGUAUUAGAAAACAACGCGUUUUGGAUCUUUGAAUGUGCAAACAAAAAAAACGUAAAAGCCAUGUUUCACAAUGCAAUUAGUUUUUCCUUUCAAACCAAGUAAUAUUGCUUCAAGUCAAGAUUUAAGAAGAAUGAAAUUGUUGAUGGUUGACUUUGUCAUUCUUCAAUGGGGCUGUCUUAUAUGCAAAACAUAGUAGAACUAUUUAUUCAAAUCAUAAUACAUCGAACCUGAUCUAUUCGAGUCACGAUAUUUCAAUGUUGAGUAGAUCUGUCCACUCACUUAUUGUCCUUGUUUGUGUCCCAUUUUUUUAUCAAAAAAUGAUUUUUUAAAUAGCGUAUUGAUGGGAAAUGUGUGAUUAAAAAAUAAGAAAAAAAUUGGAUUUACGUAUAAUAUUAUUUUAUUAAAAAAUGUGUAAUUAAAAUUGUGUUAAAACACUAUUCAACAAUUCAUUCUUUUCAAAAAAUGGGACACAAACAAUAUGGCUCAAAGUUGAAAGUGCCAAGAUUUGAGAGGACAAUGAAUUGAAACAAAUAACAAAUGGGUUCGGUGUAGUAAUCCAUGGCCAAAACCAUGAUUGGAUAAUAGAUAAUAUUAAUGUCCCUAUCUAAUGUCCCUACCAAGUACGAAGAAUUGCCGUGCAUAUUUCCAUUGAUUAGUACAACUACCUAUUGUCCUCUAACAUUUAUUGUUGCUUUGAGUGCAACUACUUUCUUCAAACUUUAUAGCUAAUUAAUAAUUUCUAUGUCGAAAUGAUAGGGCCUGUUUGGGCUCGAUUUUUUCACCCAAAAAAUUGAUUUUUUGACUGUUAUUUCACUAUUUUAACUGUUGUAUUUGACUUCUUCUCUCAUAAGUGGACCCCACUUUUCUCCUAACGGUCAAAAAAUCAAUUCUCAAAAUCAUUCCCAAACAGGCUCAUAAUUAGGAUGAAUAUUUGGCUUUGUUUGUGCCCCAUUCUUCCACAUUCUAUCACACUAUUUUCUUACAAUACUCAUUUUCAAUAACACAUUUUUCAUUAAAAUAAUAUUAUACGUAAAUAAAAAAAUCUUCUUUUUUAACAACGCAUUUCAACAUCAAUCACUAUUCCAUAAUACAUUAUUCACAAAUAAUAGGACACAAACAUGCACUUUUAUGGUUGUUCUAUACUUUUAAACCAUAGUUGAUACAUUGUACUCAAUAUGAUUAAACCCAUCAUAUUUAUCCUUCCCAAAUAUCAAUAUACAUAAAAGAUGCCAAAACAACCUUAUUUAUAAACACUAUAUUAUACCAACCAAUUUUUCCAUUCAAAUGUCAAUGCACAUUUUGUCAUUCACAUGGUAGUGAGUAAAAUAAUAUUUCUUUUCCAAUUUUCUUGAUUUAGUUUGAACUAACAUUGUUUUAGUCAAAUUUUGAUCAAAUGUCGAGUUUAUAUUAAAUUAUUUAAAAAUAAGAACAUGUUAAUUCACUAAGAUGUAAAUUUUAAAUUGCUAAUUAAAAUAAUAUUUUCGUGCAUUUAAAAAUUUGACGUAGUUGUUGUCCUAAUAGGAAACAAAACACAAGAACAAAGUUGGUGUUCCUAAUUGAGAAGAAAAGACGAACCUAGUUCUUGAUUUUAUUUUCUUUUUCCUAGAUUGCUGACAUUUUUCAUUUUUCUUCACCUCCUUUCAUCAUAAGAGUCUACUAUAAUCAACCUCGUGAUUAACAUAAAUUUUUACAAUGCAUUAACAUAUUUAGCCCUUAUUUAAGCCCCAUUUUUUCCAUCAAAAUUCAAUUUUGAAUGAUGAUUUGAUCACAUUUGAACAACACAUUUUUCAAUAAAAUAAUAUUACACGGAAAUUCAAAAAUUUUCCUUAUUUUUUUAACCACAUAUUAUCUAUUGUAAUACUACUGCAAAAAUGCAUUUUUUGAAUAAAUAAAAAUAAAAAAGGCUCAAACAACCCAUUAAUAUGCUAAAUUGAACCGGACUAAACAUGUAAGUUACUAAAAACAAUGUAUAUUGUCAUGCAUUUAAUAGUAUUACUUUUUCUUUUCUUUUCCUUUUUUUUUUCUUUUUUUUUUCUUUUGAAAAGCUUCCGUGACUCAAUCAUAACUAUGUCGUAAAUUAUUGCCUUUCUUUUUAAUUUAUAUUACUUCAAUGUCAGAUCAAAUCAAUCUUAUUUUUCAAUAAAAUAAUAUUAUACGCAAACUCAAAACUUUUCCUUAAUUUUUAAUCAUCUAUUUCUCAUCAAUAUACUAUUCAAAAAUUUAUUUAUUUAUUUAUUUUGACAAAAAUGGGGCUCAAAAGAUUAAACACACUACUUUAUAAUUCCUUAAAGAUAUACUUAAAAUAAUACGACUAAACAUAUACCACUUAAUCCUAUGUUUGAUUUAAUUAAAAAUCAAUUUUUUAGUGAAUUGAUAAAAAUUGUGAAUCCAAUAAAAUAUUUAAUUAAAAUUAAUUAUUAAUUUUGACUAAAAUUAUCAAUUUUUUAACUAAAUAAAAUAGAGACUAUAUUUUUAACUCCCUUUUUUAUCUUCUCUCUCAACAUGAUAGUCAAUUAAUAAGAAUCGAGAAGUUAGGUAGCUCUUUUCUAUCGUAUCCAAGUGGGUUCGCAUUAUCCUCGAGUUUGGUAAGAAUUAAAAUUCAGAUUUUAAUUUAAAUCAAAAUCAACAAUUAAUUUUACUUACAUAUCUUAUGAGAUCUAUUAUAACCACAUAUUUCAUUAGCUUUUAUCAAAAUCCACUAAAAAACUGAUUUUAAUCCUCACAAAAUAUGGAAUAUGUGUCAAAAUAGGGAAUAUAAUCCUCUUAUAUAUAUAUCAGGCUCAAAGAGAAAGUAGUUAGAGAUCCCCUCUUCAUAUCUAAUGUUUCUUUGUCAUGAUUUAAUCUUCCAAAACUUAAAUGAAAGUUUUAAAUUACAUACAACAUAAGUUGAUGCAUAAUCAGUGGCUGGCCAACAAUCUUUUAUAUUUUUUCGUAACAUUUUAUUGUUGGUAUUUUUCAGUACUCUUGGAAAAGCAUUUUUGUAACGCUCAUAAGUAAAGGGUUCUAUAAUAAGUUGCAGAUCUUACAUAUUAUGAGGAUAAAAUGUUUAUUAAACAAUUUAAGAAAAAUUUAAAUUUUGCCAAACAUGCACUUAGGACGACGACUAUGAGGCGGAUGCAUAUAUAUUACGGUUUCAAAUAAAAGACGUAACAAAAAAGAAAUAAACUGGAGAAAGAAAAUCAACAUAAUAGAUCAGUUGGCCUUAAAUAUUGCUUAACGAAAAGGUAUUUACUCCAAAUAGUUGAAUUAAAAAUACUCAAGAAAGUAAUUGGAUUGAUGAUAUGAAAAGGGAAGUGUUAUGUGUCCACAAAUCGUUACAUUUCACAUGAAGGAGGGUCCAUAUACGAUAAAAUAUUCGUGGACCCGUCUCCUUGUAAGGGGGUGUAAUCUAUUUUGUACACCAAAAAGUGUACACGUAGAAUAAUCCAUCUGAAAAUGGCUGGUUUUUGGCAACUAUCAUUAUAGGGCAAUGUACGAAAGUGAAAAUAAAUAAUAAAUAAAUAAAGAGGGUGUGAAGUGGCCAUCCACAAACUCAAAGCUAUCUAUACCAAUAAGAAUAAAGACACUUAACCAGGUUUAGAAAUAGAGAAGAAGGAGACACACUAAUUUAACAGCAAAUUAUUGAUGUUUUUUGUUUUCAUUUUUCAAACUGUCCAAUAACGCGUCUACACUUGACUCGCCUAUUUUUAAACCCGUAUGUGUAGCAUGAUUUACCAAUAAUGGUGGGUUUCUUGCAUAUACAAUCAAUCUAUCUGUUUUAAAUGCUUUUCUCCUUGACCUAGCUAGGUUAACCACGUGCAGAACUAGCAGAAAAGUUUAACAAAGGAGAACUACGGAAAAUUUCCAACUAACUUGUUGGCAACAAGCCAACAUUUCUUAAUUAAAACUUCAUUUAUUUUAUAUUGUUGAUUAUUUAAUCAAGAAAUGUUUUUUUUGCCCCCUGGCAUGUGUGGGAUCAAAAAGGAAAACUAUAAAAAAAAAUGUUAAUCAUAAAAAUUCGUAGAAUUAAUUGCGGAUCCAAAACAACAAUCAUCAGUUUUUAUUGUCAUAAGGGAACAUGAAUAUGUUGGCUUUAAUUUGGAACAUUUAGAGCAUGUCACAUGACCACUAGACUAUUUUAAACUUUGACUAAAAAUAAUAAGCGAUAAAUUUUAUUCUAUUAUAUACCUUUUCAUUAAUUUUGUCCAAUACAUUAUUUAUUAACAUUAGACUCAAUAAUGUAACCACAAAAUUCAAUUUCUUCUUCUUCUUCUUUUUUCUGUUUUAUUAAAAUCAUCUACAUACCAAAUGUCGAGUGAGUCUGCAAUAUUAUCCCGUAUAUAUUUGAUUACUUCUAAACGAGUAGUACAUUCCUCGUGAAAUUUGAACAAAACAUGCUUGUAAAUUUUAAUGUAAUCCCAGAAUAUUCAAACACAUAGUUUAAUGUUUUGCUCGUUGAUCAAUUCUAUUGCCAUCGGUGGAUAAGAAUAAAGGAUCAUGUAUGUUGAAUUUAUCACGUUUAUAACAAUUUUCUCGUAGGAUUGAGAUGGCAAGCUUCAUCGUUCAUACUACUCUCUCUCUCUCUCUCUCUCUCUCUCUCUCUCUCUCUCUCUCUCUCUCUCUCUCNNNNNNNNNNNNNNNNNNNNNNNNNNNNNNNNNNNNNNNNNNNNNNNNNNNNNNNNNNNNNNNNNNUGUUUGUUUGCCUUAUAAAUCAGCAUUAUCCAAUCCAACUACAGAGUUUUAUAUGCAUAUUUAUUACAUUAGAACGAUAAUAGGGAGUUUUAGAGAGCGAAAGUAAGAGAGAGAUGGUACCAGAGAUCGUAAAUGUAGAAGUGGAAGAGAUGUUGAGUGAGUCAAUAGCAUAUUCUAAUGAAGCAAAUAAAUUGCCAAUCUUGUCACUAAACCAUGUCUCUUUUGUCUGCAAAUCAGUCAAAAAAUCUGUGCAGUUUUAUGAGCAAGUUCUUGGAUUUGUCCUAAUCAAGAGGCCCUCUUCUUUUGACUUUGAAGGAGCUUGGUACGUAUAUUCAUCUUCCUCUGCGGGUGUGUUUACAUUGGGAUAAAGUAGAAAUGAAAAAUAUGAAGCAUUAGACACAUUAAUUUUGCAUAUUACUUUCCAAAUCUCGAAGAUUUCGAACAUACUUAAACACCCACCAUUUAUACUUCUUAUGUUCCUACUGAUAUUAAACAAGAUUGACAAUUAAAGAAAAUGGGGGAAAGUUGCAGAUUUUUUACUUCACUGCUAUGGAAUUAAUUUACACGGAAGUUUGAUUUCUCUCUUUCUUUAUGCUUUGACAUAAAACAAAUUAACCUCCCAAUCUGGACGAAUUUUUCUACCAGUUUAUCAAAUUUAAGAGGGAGAUGUGAAGACUAAUUUUAUUAUAAAACUCUUAAUCUCCGUCCAACCAACUCCAGAGGAAAAUUAAUGUAGUACGGUCUCGAUUGCAAGAAAUUUACCAUCAGCCUUAUUAACAUGUUUUGGUACGCAUGUCUCAUAUAACAGUGCAUUGGACGAGUACUAUUUAGCUAACUCAUAUCGUGUCUUGUUUAGUCCUGUGCACUCACUGGCGAAGGAAAGGGGCUAUGAUCCCCCAACUUUUGGGAAAUUUUGUUUUUGUUUUUGUUUUUUCCUUUUAUUUUUCGAAAAAAAAAACACAAUUUUCUCUCGCUCUCUCACGACUCUCUCUCUCUCUCACCUCUAUUACCAAAACUCUAACCCUAUUAAUUCUUCAGAAAAAUGUCUAUGAUUUCCCACAAAUUACCACAACUACUCCAAUUUUCAACUAAUUAGAACCUAAAUUUUCAUUUUCUUUUUUACCAAUUUAUUCUAACAUUGAUGCAAAAUGACUGUCAUUACGGCACUACCUCCCUCAUUCGUCAUUGUAAUUCUGACGCCACCUUCACUCAUCAGUUCUCCACACACAGUCAACUUAAAGUUAUUUUGUCUUUGAAAAUUGAAAGACAACCAUUACGCAGACAACAGUAACUUAUAAUUUCAAAUUUUUAAUUUUUUUUUUUUAACAAAAUUCAAAGUAAAAGAGAAAAUGGGUUUGAAUUACAUCAUUAGUUUAUGAAUAAUUAUAUUCUUACAAAGUUGGUGUACAAAAGUGGAGUGCCAAAGUGUGUUGGCAAAAUCUGGACCCUUGAUUUCAAAUUAUUUAAAAAUCUGUUUUUAAAAUGAUUGGUGUAGAUUUGAUUUUGUAACCUAACUUUGUAAACCCCCUUUGUCAUUGUAGCAUAGCUUGAUUUGGAAUGUGUUUGGAAAAAUUUAUGCAUAUGGAAUGACUUUAAAAUUGUGUAUAUAGAAUCUGGAAUGAUUCUGUCCAAUUUGACUUAUAUUGAUUGAAUUGAUAGUUAGUAUUAAAUAUUGGUUGAAUGUUUUUCCUUUCGAUAACAUGAAUUGAAUAUUUUAAUUGAUUGUUUGUCUCAGUUAUGGAUAAAUUCCUUAAAUAUAAAUAUGUAUUUUCUUAUGAUAAGCAAAAUAUUAAUGAAAGUAAUGUUCGAGAUAAAAUAGAUGAAAGUGAUAUUAGAGAUGAUAGGGAUCAAGGACUUGGUGAUUAAAUGGCUGUUGGGGAUGAAAUUGAUUAAACUAAUCUUGGAGAUAUUCCGGUUGAAACUAAUGCAGAGGAUGCUAGGAAUGAAAAUGCGUAGAAAACAAUUAUAAUAAAAUGUUGAAUGCCUUUUAAGAAAAAAAAAUUGCAAGCUUAACUGUGUCCCUAACUAAAAAUGUCAUCAUCCGCCAAUGGAUGCAUUAAACACAUAUUUUCCGAGCCUUGGCACAUAAUCCCUCUACUUCUUGACUAUACUCUAAAUAUGUUAUUCUACCUUCUCUUGUUCAUGUUCAUCUUUGUUUGGUGGGAAUUUGAUUACUAAUCCAAACUGAAUUUAAUUUGUAGGUUGUUCAACCAUGGAAUAGGAAUCCAUUUGCUUGAAGCUGCAGAAAAUGUUCCAAACAAAAAAGAGAAAAUAAAUCCAAAAGACAACCACAUUUCAUUCCAAUGCUCGGAUAUGGAACUCAUAACCCAGAAAUUACAAGAAAUGAAAAUAGGAUAUGCAACUGCAGUUGUCAAAGAAGGAGGCAUAACAGUGGAUCAAUUGUUCUUCCAUGAUCCAGAUGGUUAUAUGAUUGAAAUUUGCAAUUGCCAAAAUCUACCAAUUCUUCCACUUUCUUCCUGUCCUCUUA